GUCCCUUUUGAAGGAAACACACCAUUCCCGGAAGUAAAAAAAAAAGUGAUUUAUUUGGAAACCCUUAAGACUUUUAACCACGUUUGCCAAAGAAACGGCACCCAAAGUGGAAGAAGGCCUCAGUUCGUCAUAAUGUGUCGCUUGUUGGCGUAACGAGGAGUCAACCCAUUCAUGACAUGUCACAUAUUUGUUGUUGUCUCCCAUGGACCACAAGCCACCACACCCUACGGUCAUGUGACAUCUUGAACCGUACUGCUCUUCUUGUUUGGACUGAACAGGUUUGCGAGUGGAUGUAAAGAAUGAGAUCGAUGGACAUCAAUCUUCAACAUCAUCCUAUUUGUGUUUCUCCACCAGGAGGUUUGGUGGGAAGAGCAGAUGUCCGCGUGCACAUGGAGCUGCCAAGAGGGUGCAGAAACGGGCCAUGCUCAGACACAAGGGCCCCAAAUGGUGUGACAAAGGAUGUGCAGGAAGCCCCUCUCCGCCUGGGUGAGCCCCAGAGAGGGUCUCCUCCUCUGCCAGUCUGUGCGAGCCAAAGCCUUGUGCUCCUCACCAGGACGAUGAGUUGCCACCGUAUCUAAUAGAUUCUCCAUCCAUCCAUCCAUCCAUCCAUCCCCCCAAACAAGGUGACCGUGUCACGAGUGUCAAUCGUGUCGUCUUCCAAGCACAGGUGUGCCGCCUGGCCCAGAGUGAAUGGGGUGCGGUCGACCAUAAACAAUGAUAU